AUGGUGGCAGGUGGGCAGAGGUGACCGGUUGAAGCAGGUAAGCGCUGCCGGAACCUGAGGAAAAAAAAAAAAAGAGAGUGGGAAAUUGAAAAUUGGGUGCAUACUAACUUAAAUGCAUAAUUAUUGAAUAAUCAUGCACUUUUAUUAAGGGCCUUUAAUUACCUGGGAGUUAGGGUUUUGACGCCACUAGUCCAAUCCUCCAAUUAAUACCAUCUUCUUCCCUUAAAGUCCCAUUCAUGGGCCUUCUUCCUUCCUUCCUCCUCGGUUCUCUCUCUCUCUCUCUCUCCCCAGCGCUGUGGUGGGGAGGGGGGAGGAGCAGCGGCCUGAAAUUUGAAGGGAAUGAUGGCUGGGUCGAGGCCACACGGUUGAUGAGUUUCUUGGUGAAUGGUGGAGGCGUCGGACCAGGCUUCAUUCCCUCCAAGUUUGAUUGGCUAAGACUAUGCCUUCUUCCUUCUACAAGUUUCCUGUCCUUCGUCUCUGCAAUUCCCUCCUCAACUUUGGGGCGAGUUCGCAAAAGGUUGUGGGGAAUGUUGUCUGGCUCGAGGGCAUAUGGGCGUCUUGCUCAGGCGUGUGCUUCUUUCCCAGCGCGAAACCUCAUGAUCCAUCAGCUACAAAUGAAACCAGCACUUAUCCUUUGCCUUUGUUCGGGGAGUAUAUUCAUAUAUAGGUGAGAAUUUCCGGCAACCCAACAAUGAAAAAGUGCAGCUUUCCGGCAGCUGGGUUGAGUUUUCCAAAGACGGAAGUGCAAGAAGAGAUAGGGGAAGAGGACAGAAAACAGAUGGAGAAGGUAUUUAGAAGGCUUUAAAGAGGACCCAUCAGAGAGAGAGAGUCAGUUUCCAAUGAUAGUAGUUUGAUAAUGUGCACCUGACAUUUCAGCCAGCCUUUGCCAAUCGAGGCAUACUUUGGAAUUUCUCUUACUGUACCUUUCUUGCCUCUUACCGCGGCCCUCUUCCCUUCCUUAACUGAUGGCUAUAGAUCAGUUUCUCGUCUCAUCAGCACUCUUUUAAGCCAAUGAGAAAGCAAAAGGCUUCUAACAAGCCCACUUGGUUGUUCUGAUGCACUUUUUUGGUUCGCAUUUUUGUCUUUUUUUUUUUUUUUUGGUUGUCAAAAUGUCCUCUACCUCAUUUUUCUCUCAUUUUCAUUCAAGUACUCUACUCAGUUCAUUUGAAUGAUGAUUUUGGAUAACGAUUU